AUGGAAACCCGGAGCUCCGACUGCAGCUGCUCGUCGCUUACCACCCACGCCCCCUGCGUCUUUUGGAUAUCGUCCAUGGCGGAGUUGAACUGCUUGAACCGUUCCUUGAGCAGCGUCUUCUGCACAUGGCCCUUCACGGUCAGCACGCCGUCAUCGCGGAGCAGGGUCAGCACCCGGUUCCACGUCUCCCGCUGGUAG
rnacentral:rRNA from 1 species